AGUCACGACGUAUAUUACAGGUGGCACCACUGCACAUGGGCACAGACUGGAAUUUUUUGGCCAGGCAAUCGGGAGGACAGCUAAAAUGGCCGCCGGGGGUCCUUCACGUACACUGCCGGUGACUUAGCAGCACGAGGGAAUGAGCACAGCUGCCUCGCCACAAAACCUAUAGCGUGACGACAUCCUCCUGCAAAAAAAAGAAUCUCUUGAAGCUCGACGUCCUGCUGUGGCCUCACGAUCCCUGAGAACCAGACUCCAGCUUCGUACACACAGGAAGUUGCUGCUGAAGCCACAGUCACACACAAAGGACACAUUUCUGAUUUAGAGCAUCUCGUAGUGAAAUUCGGAGAAAUUGCAUAACGUGAUAAUCCACCGAUUUAGUAGUUAAAAUUUAAUAAAUGUAUUCCCCCCUUGCAACCAUGAAUGCAACCAAUGAGGAUUUGGCAGCUGUUGCCAAUGAAGAGCUAACUUAAGAAGCGAGCGGCUCUUUCCUGGUUGACUUACUGCUCAGCAAGGUGUUUGCCUGUGCAGGUACCCACUUUUAUUUAAUUUUUUUCCCAAAAGAAAUGUGGUUAAACAUCAUAUUUUUUACCAAAUCCAGACUGUAGAUCUGUUGGACAACUUUGCAAAACGCUGCGAGCUGCUGAAAAACAUAACCUGCAAAAGAUUAUAGUGAAAUAAUUUGACAAACUGAACCAUCGUGAAACUACUAUUUCUAAUACUGUUAAUACCAGUACACAAGUCUUUAUGUUGUCAUUAAAAUAUGUGUGUACAUAAGGAGGGAGCAUUUAAAGUUUCUUUCAUUUAAAAUUUCAGGGAAAGGACCAGAUUACGUCUUGGGCGAUGAAUUCAUACAAGUUAUGAGAAAUCAUCAGCUGUGUGACUUGAGGCAGUCGACGAGUGUUAGCAUGGGCCAGGCUAACACUCAAUGCUAACAAAACUAUAAUUUAAUCAUCAUUGAGCUUUGGAGCAUCUCCACUCUUUAGGUUACGCAAGUCGUCGUGAAGAUCCACUGGUGGAUACAUACAUUGAUGACUUUAGAGUCUUAUGUUCUCGUCCCUCAAGGCCAAGUCGAGCAGAAGGACCGUCGACCACAGUCGCUCAGUCUGGUUCCUCUGAGGAAGGCGAGUGGCAAAAUCCACUCUUUCCAAACCUGCAGGCGCAGGUAAAGUGCUGAGGAUCUUUCCCGGAGCAAACCAACUAACGUUUUUUCUUCAAGCCUCGUGUCUUUAAUUUGUACUGGCAGACGAUGAAAUAUUUACAAGGAACCCUACAGGCAAUUACAUUAAAAGUGUGCGGUUAGACACUGCCUACCCAUCGGCGGGGCCCCCUCGGUGAGAAGCUGAGGCCGAUUUGGUGAAUGGUCGCAAAGUUUACAACGUCAGAUUUUACUCACUAUCAAUAAUUCAGAGCUGGAAGAGGCAGAGAGAGGAGGAAGGAGGGGAGGCGGCGGCGGCGAGGGGCAGGAGAAGGGAGCGACGUUAGGAGGUGAGUGAGUGUGUGUGUGAGCGUUCAGACUGUGGUGAUGUCGGAGGAAGGCUGCACUUCAGUGUCCAUUUGCUAAACGUGGCAGAACACGUGUUGGCGGCCAUGUUGUGUUCACUGAAAGCUCCGCCGGACGUCCCGAUCCCUCAGAGUCCAUCCUGGUUUGUGAUCACACGCAUUGUUGGACAUAGGCUACAAACACAAGAGUGUUUUGUUUGGCACAUACAAACAAACACAUUGGGCAAGACAACAAGGCCAACAGCGGUUGGAUUGUAGUUCCAAAUACGAGCAACAUAAAAAGAUUCUGAUGGCUAAAUUUACAUUACAUAGAAAGUUAAUAAACAACGGUGUCAUGUAACAUGUCUAUUAAGUUUUUUCUUCCAUCCUCAUUUAAGUGUUUUGUUGCAAAUUUUGUGAGAUAAAAAAUAGACUGCGUAUGUAUUUCCCUUUUUUCUUCAAGAUCUGAUCUCAAGUAGUGACAGCACAGAAUAAGCAGGUGACCAAUAAAGUUAAACUUGAAUUCCUGAAUUUUGCAAAUGCUUUUGCUUCCAUACAUAGGACACGAUGCUCCAAACAGUUGCACCUGAAGGGCAAAGACGGAAAAAGAGAGGGAGACUUUGAAGGAGAGUUCAUCACAGGGAAACCCAACAGUUCCCACAACGAGCAUCACAAACUCCCUUUCAACAGGAAGAAACCUCGACCGGUUGGGGAGGGAGAUGAGGGAAAGAGAAGGAUGGAAAGAGGAGAGAGCGAGAACAGUUGUUGUUUUAAGCUCUAUCGAACUGAUUCUUACAUUAACAAUCACAAUACUGACAUGUUAUGAUGUUCAUAAUACUAAUAAGCAGAAAACUAAGCAAAGAGAAGAAGUGAAAGUUUCGAGUUGAUAAACCAUUAAUCUGAUUUACUUUGUCGCAACAAGUUGAUGAGUUUAAAGUUUAAACUGAGGAAAAUGCACUUCCUCUUAACUCCGACUGCUCUUCUUUCGCUCUAAUCUCUUUUUCCCCUGAACUUCGCCUCCGCCCUCAUUCAUCCUUUUCUCGACUCCCUCCCCGUUCAGUCCGUUCGGUGUCGCCUUCCCAGAGGAGCGUCCCACCCGCCAGCGUCCCAGCAGCGGCGGCUGAUGUAUAUUUGAUGAGCUGGUGCCGGGGACCCUCUGGAGGGGCCGAGGCUCCAGCAGGACAAUGGCCCUCGCUCAGGUUUCCUGCUGAAUGGUCCGCCACCGACACGGCUGCUCUUCUCUUUUUUGUUUGUUGGUGAAGUUGUGGUGUCGAGGCUGGAGUUUCAUGGGUCUGAUGUUUCACCGUCAGGUGGGUCAUUGCAACCAAAUGAGGAAUAGACUGGAUCACGCGGGAUAUCAGGUAAUAUUACUGAUAGAAUAAUAAAAGGUGUCCUGUGAAAAGAAGAACUGUUUCCAUCAAGUCCGUUUAAACAAUUUUCUCAAUUAAUUUGCUGUAUUGUCAUUUUCCCUAC